GAAGUUCGCCAGGCAAUCGCGGUAUCGCUUGUCGGUAUCGAGGAAAGUCCGGGCCCCAUAGAGCAGGAUGCUGGCUAACGGCCAGGCGUUAUAAGCGAUGGCAACAUCGCCCAAGGCGACAGAAAGUGCAACAGAAAGAUACCGCCGAUGGCUUCGCCCGGCUUUGACGCCGUAAGGCGGCAAAGUCCCUCUUUAGUGAGUGGGAGAAGAACAGGUAAGGGUGAAAUGGUGGCGGGUCGCGAGGCCCGGCAGCGCCACGCAAGUGGCGUUGAGGUAAGAGCCCACCGCGUUCCCGGUGACGGUGGACGGCACGGUAAACCUCAUCCGGGGCAAGGCCAAAUAGGGGAGCGACGGCGUGGCUCGUGCUGCUCCCGGGUAGGCUGCUUGAGGUCGUCGGUAACGGCGGUCCCAGAGGAAUGAUUGCCCACGACAGAACCCGGCUUAUCGGCGGACUUCCCAU
rnacentral:RNase_P_RNA from 1 species